ACUUCUGACUUCUCUCUCUGUGAUAUGUGUAUUCACAGGUAGUGGAUAUAGCAUCAGAUGCAUAGUUCUCCCAGCUGUUCCUCCAGCUGUUCCCUCAGCCUCCCCCUCUGCUCGACUGGAAGAGGAAGUGAGAGUUUAUCUACAGAGGAGAAACAGGAAUCCAGACGAGCUGCAGCUGCAGAAAUAUAUAUUGAUUACAAAAUGAUACUGCUGCACCCCCUCACCUCUUCUGUCCCAGGCCUCAGACCCGUCCGUCAUGGCGUCCGUCCUGAGCUUCUACCUGAGCUACCUGCUGCUGCUGAGCCUGAGUGUGUGUGUGUUGGUGUGUGUGAGUGUGUGGAGCAGCUACUGGCGGGGGGGCUUUGCGUGGGACGGGUCAGCGCUGCAGUUUAACUGGCAUCCAGUCCUGAUGGUGAGCGGCCUGCUGCUGCUCUAUGGGAACGGUGAGAUAAAAGACAAAUAUAUAGACUCUCACUCUCACUUCUGCUUCUCACUUCUGCUUCACAACCUCUAAUAAGACAAUAGAGGGAGGAAACAGUUCAGUAGUGAAACAAUAAAACCCAUAGCAAUGGAGUGGUGCAGGAAUGAGUCCUGAAGCCGGAAAUGUGCAUUUUCGCACUGAAUCAAAGAUAAGCUAAUGUUAUGCUAACUGAAUCAAAGAAAGGCUAAUGUUAUGCUAACUGAAUCAAAGAAAGGCUAAUGUUAUGCUAACUGAAUCAAAGAAAGGCUAAUGUUAUGCUAACUGAAACAAAGCAAGGCUAAUGUUAUGCUAACUGAAACAAAGCAAGGCUAAUGUUAUGCUAACUGAAACAAAGCAAGGCUAAUGUUAUGCUAACUGAAUCAAAGAAAGGCUAAUGUUAUGCUAACUGAAUCAAAGAAAGACCAAUGUUAUGCUAACUGAAUCAAAGAAAGACCAAUGUUAUGCUAACUGAAUCAAAGAAUGCUAACAUGUAAGAUGUUAGAUAGAUUCAGUAAGCACAACAUAGCACGUAAUCGGAUAGCUAACAAGAGUCUAAAUGAGACGACUAAACGUCAUCACGCCCAACAUUAGCCUCCUUUAGCUUAGCGGUGGUGACGUGAA